GUUGGAAAUCAUUCAUAGAGUGUAAAGGCAUAAGGGAGCUUGACUGCGAGACCUACAAGUCUAGCAGGGUCGAAAGACGGACUUAGUGAUCCGGUGGUUCCGCAUGGAAGGGCCAUCGCUCAACGGAUAAAAGCUACCCCGGGGAUAACAGGCUUAUCUCCCCCAAGAGUUCACAUCGACGGGGAGGUUUGGCACCUCGAUGUCGGCUCAUCGCAUCCUGGGGCUGUAGUCGGUCCCAAGGGUUGGGCUGUUCGCCCAUUAAAGCGGUACGCGAGCUGGGUUCAGAACGUCGUGAGACAGUUCGGUCCCUAUCCGUCGUGGGCGUAGGAAAUUUGAGAGGAGCUGUCCUUAGUACGAGAGGACCGGGAUGGACAUACCUCUGGUGUACCAGUUGUCGUGCCAACGGCAUAGCUGGGUAGCUAUGUGUGGACGGGAUAAGUGCUGAAAGCAUCUAAGCAUGAAGCC
rnacentral:rRNA from 1 species